CUAACUGGCCAGCACCUCGAGAGCUUUCGAUCUAUUUGUACACCAGAGAUUCGAUAAGUUCUUCGCUGCCCAGACACCACGUAUAGCGAACUAGAGGGCAGAAUUUACACCAAUACCCUUUUAGUCUAUUACACUAUCAAUAAUCUAGUGGCUGGAUUUACCACAGAGCACACUUAGUUAAGAUAGGGUGAAAUCUAGCAAACUAUAAUAUACAAA